rnacentral:lncRNA from 1 species
AAAAAUGGAAAGAGCUUGUAUUCUUUGUAUUUUUUUUUUUUUAAAGAUUUUAUCUAUUUAUUCGACAGAGAGAGGUCACAAGUAGGCAGAGAGGCAGGCAGAGAGAGAGAGAGAGAGGAGGAAGCAGGCUCCCCGCCGAGCAGAGAGCCCGAUGCGGGACUCGAUCCUAGGACUCCGAGAUCAUGACAUGAGCCGAAGGCAGCGGCUUAACCCACUGAGCUACCCAGCAAAAAUUUCUAAAAGCACACCCCACGCCAAACAGCAGCAACA